rnacentral:rRNA from 1 species
UAAGGAAUAUUGCUCAAUGGGAGAAAUCCUGAAGCAGCAACGCCGCGUGGAGGAUGAAGGGUCUAUGACUUGUAAACUCCUGUAAAGAAGGAAAAAAUUCCCAUUUGAUGGGAGAUGAUGGUACUUCAGGAGUAAGCCCCGGCUAACUACGUGCCAGCAGCCGCGGUACUACGUAGGGGGCAAGCGUUGUCCGGAUUUAAUGGGUGUAAAGGGUGCUCAGGCGGAUUUGUAAGUCAGAGGUGAAAUCUUACAGCUUAACUGUGAAACUGCCUUUGAUACUGCAAGCCUAGAGUAUGGAAGAGAGUGAUGGAAUAUCUGGUGUAGCAGUGAAAUGCGUAGAUAUCAGAUAGAACACCAAUGGCGAAGGCAGUCACUUGGUCCAUUACUGACGCUAAAGCACGAAAGCGUGGGUAGCAAACA